rnacentral:lncRNA from 1 species
AGAAAUGGGAACUGACUGCUUAAUAAGUAUGGGAUUUUUGGUGGGGUGUUGAUGCAAUGUUUUGCAACUAGAUAGGGAUGAUGGCUGGCUGCACAGCAUUGAUGGAGUUCAAUGGUGCAAUCGCGGCUCACGGCAACUAGAGGAGUUAUAACACAAGAUUUGGGGUGACGGCAUGGAAAUUAAAAGCUGGUGAAGCACAUGGCCUUUAGAUCUGGAUGUACUUGAGCUGUGGGAUACAGAGCAUAAAGGGGAGCACACCACUAAGGU